CUUCUACUUAACUGAGGGCUGAAGGGAACAUUCAACACUCAGCUCACACAAUGGCUUACAGGGCGGGGCUGCUGAUUUUAACUAUCUGCUGGGCAGGUGUUGAUGGUCAGACUCUGACACAGUCUGAACCAGUGGUCAAAAACCCUGGUAAUUCACACAGACUGACAUGUACAGCAUCUGGAUUCACAUUCAGCAACUACUUUAUGCACUGGAUCA